GUACGGUGCGGAACACGUGUGCACGCUUAUCUGGGAUAGCCUUNCGAAGAGAUUAUACCCCAUAAUAUGUUGANUGGCUCAUNCGACUUUGAAACUCCGGUGGAUAGAGAUGGGCCGCGCAGAUUAGAUAGUGUGAGGUAACGGUCACCAGUCUACGAUCUUAGGGGGCCUGAGAGUGAUCCCAAUGGUACUGAACGGGACCAGACUCCUUACGGGAGGCAGCAGUGAGGAUAUUGGACAAUGGGUGAGAGCCUGNAUCCAGCAUCCCGGUGAAGGACGACUGCCCUAUGGGUUGUCACACCUUCUUUGUAUAGGGGAUAAACCUAACCUUCGUGAGGGUAAGCUGAAGGUACUAAUACGAAUAACACCCGGGUUAAUCCGUGCCAAGCAGCGGCGGUAAUACGGAGGGGUGGCAACGGUAAUCCGGAAUUAUGGGGUAAAAGGGUCCCGGAAGGCGGGAUCACUGUCAAAGUCNAGUGGGUGGAAAAUCCNCCAACAGUUAACUAAGCGAAAUNGGCCAUUAGAUAACCCAGGCAAGGGGCACCAACGGANGUACAGCCCAGCGGACAAGGACAAAANGGUAAACCUUGGGGGGACAAC
rnacentral:rRNA from 1 species